ACAGAUUUUAUAUAUAUAUGUGUGUGUGUGUGUGUGUGUGUGUGUGUAUACAUAUACAUACACACACAUACAUACAUACAUACAUAUAUAUAUAUA
ensembl:miRNA Gm23053 predicted gene, 23053